UCUGUUGCUUAGAAACCUUGGGUUCAGGAGUUAUGUCCUUUCUAAUUAUGACUUGAACUGGGGACAUUCCCAUCAUAACCAGGAUCGGUGACUGCUGUGGAUAAGUGUUGGGCAGCAGGAGGCCAGCUGGAUCUUUGAAGCCAACUGAGCCAAGAAUGAAACCUUUACUUGGAAUGAAAGCGGCCUCUCUUGGAGCUGAGUCAGUAAAUGCUGUCUGGUUUUCAGAACCGAGAGAAAGUCUGUGAGAAUUGAACCUACAUGUAGAAGGAAGAAGAGCUGAAAGAUGGAGAUUGAAGAGACAGAGACAACAAAGAAAACUCAAAUAAUCUCUUCUGUGUCACUGAAUCAAGCUCAUUUCAGAUAUGGACUGACUCUCUUCUUGAACUACAUACCUAUGUCAAAAAGAAAAAUUCACUGAAGGGGCUCAACAGUAAUUCAAGCAGACAGAAGAUAAAAAGAGAUCUCAAAUAUGGGUCAGUAAAGAUUUUCCAAUUGAGUAACAGAAAAGAAAGGAAAACUAGUAAAAGGAAAAAAAGGAUGAAAUAAAAAAUCCCCAGAGACUUGUGGAGCACAAUCAAAUAUUCUAAUGCAUGCAUAAAUGAGAGAGAAAGAAGGAAGAAUACUUGAAAAAAAGACCGAAAUCUUCCCAAAUUUGAUAAAAAGCAUUAAUCUACAUAUGUAAGAAGCUUCAUGAAUGUCAAGUAGAGUAAAAUUAAAGAGAUUCCACCUAGACAUCUUACAGUCAAACAGUUGAAAGUCAAAGACAGAAUCUUGAAAGCUGCAAGAGAGAAGUGACUCAUCAUGUACAAGAAAUCUUCAUCAGAAACCAUGGAGCCAGAAGUAGUGGGGUGACAUAUUCAACAUGCUGAAAGAAAAACUGGUCAAAGAAAAAUUCUGUAUCUGCCAAAACAAUCCUUCCAAAGUGAAAAAGAAAUUAAGACCUCCUAGAUAAACAAAAACUGAGUGUGUUUGCUCCUAGUGAAAGUUGCCUACCUGCCCCCUGUGAAUGCCUGUAUUCUUUUUCCCUAAUAUUAUCACUCUGAAAGAAUAAAACAAAUAUCAUUAACUGGGAAAUUAAUAAUAG